UCCUAUACAAACAGUCAUACAUGCUGCGAGUGGGAUCUAGAGGAGAUAGACAGCAGUGAUGAAGUUUUUAUGGAAUGCUCUGUGGAUGAGAUAGGAACUGAAGAGGAGGAAUUUUCUAAUUCUUCACGUUUGAAAAACAUCCCGUGCGGGUGUAAUUCAACCAUAUUUGUUCGAACCGGAGUUGACGACACAAGGACGGUAUUUGGCGAGAGCUGAUGUGGUUGACCUGAAACUUUGCACCCAAAACACAGACUGGUCCAAAAACCUCCAGAACACCUGAAGACGAGGAUUCGGACAGUGAUGUCAGUCCUGUAAUUGCCCUGCAAGACCAUCAAAUGGAACAGGUAGUAGACUGUCACGAAGAAUGUCAUGAAGAAUCCUGAGACAUUCAAAACAAAGACAUUUACUAUCAACCUCGAGUCAUCCACUACCAACCAUGAGCCUCUCCCAUUCCUUCAAAGAGAGUGGCCCUUAUUAGAAGCAAGGUUCCAAAAAAAAGUGCUGAUGCUGCUUAUGGAGAUAAGAGACACCAUCAGUCAUUAAAACCAGAGGGCAACACAAGAAAAGGACAUCGACAUUGUACAGAUAAAAUCUCUGGCAGACUUCGCUGUCAUAGAAGAGAAGGUGACGGAAGACCCUUUACAGAACUGGUAUAAUUAAGUAUGGAAAAAGUUGUUCAGUUUAAUUGGAACAACAAACUAAUUACUAAUUUUGCCAUCCUCUUUUUGAUUAACGGAAAUUCCAAACUGUCAUGGGUGUGUCUGUCCCUGAUGCGGCGUGCACCUGCUCCAAUGAGCAGAUGGGUGCACCUGCGUCUCAUUUUAGUGAUUAUGGCUCUCAUAUUGCCACGCAUACGUUCUGUUUUUUGCCAGAUCGUUGGACUUCAUGUCACGUUGCUGAAACCCUUUGUCUACAUCCUUGCUACUUCGUGUAUCGAACCCUGGCUCGUUCUCGACCUUCCCCUUAUGCCCGCUGAUUCUGUUACUGCUGCCUUGUUGGACUGUCUGCCCAUGUACCAACUUUAGACUGAAUAAAGACUCCUCCCGAACCGUACCUGGUCUC